rnacentral:rRNA from 1 species
UAGGGAAUCUUCCACAAUGGACGCAAGUCUGAUGGAGCAACGCCGCGUGAGUGAAGAAGGUUUUCGGACCGUAAAGCUCUGUUGUUGGUGAAGAAGGAUAGAGGUAGUAACUGGCCUUUAUUUGACGGUAAUCAACCAGAAAGUCACGGCUAACUACGUGCCAGCAGCCGCGGUAAUACGUAGGUGGCAAGCGUUGUCCGGAUUUAUUGGGCGUAAAGCGAGCGCAGGCGGAAGAAUAAGUCUGAUGUGAAAGCCCUCGGCUUAACCGAGGAAUUGCAUCGGAAACUGUUUUCUUGAGUGCAGAAGAGGAGAGUAGAACUCCAUGUGUAGCGGUGGAAUGCGUAGAUAUAUGGAAGAAUACCAGUGGCGAGGGCGGCUCUCUGGUCUGCAACUGACGCUGAGGCUCGAAAGCAUGGGUAGCGAACAGGAUUAGAUACCCUGGUAGUCCAUGCCGUAAACGAUGAGUGCUAAGUGUUGGGAGGCUUCCGCCUCUCAGUGCUGCAGCUAACGCAUUAAGCACUCCGCCUGGGGGAGUACGACCGCAAGGUUGAAAC